rnacentral:rRNA from 1 species
UACAGAGGUCUCAAGCGUUGUUCGGAUUCAUUGGGCGUAAAGGGUGCGUAGGCGGCGCGGUAAGUCGGGUGUGAAAUUUCAGAGCUUAACUCCGAAACUGCAUUCGAUACUGCUGUGCUUGAGGACUGGAGAGGAGACUGGAAUUUACGGUGUAGCGGUGAAAUGCGUAGAUAUCGUAAGGAAGACCAGUGGCGAAGGCGGGUCUCUGGACAGUUCCUGACGCUGAGGCACGAAGGCCAGGGGAGCAAACGGG